AGCGAACGUUAGCGGCAGGCUUAACACAUGCAAGUCGAGCGAGAAAGGGGCUUCGGCCCUGAUUAAAGCGGCGGACGGGUGCGUAACACGUGGAUAAUCUGCCUUCUAGUGGGGAACAACAGUCCGAAAGGAUUGCUAAUGCCGCAUGUUGCAACGUGGACCCCGGUCUGCGUUGAUAAAGGGGGCGCCCGCAAGGGGCUCUCGCUAGAAGAUGAGUCCGCGGCCCAUCAGCUAGUUGGCGGGGUAAUGGCCCACCAAGGCUUUGACGGGUAGCUGGUCUGAGAGGAUGACCAGCCACACUGGGACUGAGACACGGCCCAGACUCCUACGGGAGGCAGCAGUGGGGAAUAUUGGGCAAUGGGCGCAAGCCUGACCCAGCCAUGCC
rnacentral:rRNA from 1 species